GGUGGAGAGAAAAACAUAGUGAAGAAGAAGGAAACAAAAUAGUCAUACUAGGCAGCAUUCAAAGUUGAUAAAUCCUGCAAAAGAUAGAUGAUUCUUGCGAAGCAGUGGCUUUACUGGAUAGCUAUUAUGCAUGGUGAAGCAUAAGAAGCAUCUAUUUUGGAUCUUAGUGCCAAUCCCACUGUAUCCAGCUCACUCCAGGGAAUGAUUCUCUACAACAAUAUCCAUUGCCUACAAAUUGCACUGCUCCUAAUUGACAUUCUUUUUAUUUUCUUUCCAAGAAGUUUCCAAAUUUUAUUUUAUUUUUAACAAAAAAAUAUGAUUUUGACAUUUGAGAACGUUCCUUGCGUUUUGACAUUUGAGAACUUUCUUUGCGUUGAUAAUAUUCCUAUAAUUUCAAUUUAUAAGAGUCUAAAGUUAGAAAACAAUUUUAUAUCCUCUGGUCUAAGGAGUAUCGUCUAGCAUACAAUGACAUUUAACUAUUAACCACUUUAGUAAUUUUAUCUUACAUAGUUCCAUUACGUUAUUAGCCUUUUUUUCUUUUCCUUUCUGUCAUCUUUUUAUAGUUUCUAAAUACGAAAUGAAAUAUAUUACUAAUACUUAAUGAAAUUUUGAUAUAUAAAGUGGGUUUUAGAACAAGUUAGAGGCAUUAAUUUGACAAAACGUAAAUAUUUUUGAGAUGGGAUGGAUCAAUGAAAUGAUCAAGUUUGGCAUUGACAGAAACAAAUUCAGUAUUUUAAUUUUAUUAGUUCUUAAUCAUAAUUCUUUGUACUUAUUUAUUUUGAUUAAGUUUUUUAUAUAUAAUAAAUAAAUUUCUCAAUACAAAUAUAAGAAUUAGUUCAAACCUACUGAAUUGAAUUUUUAUUGUGCUCCGCGCUUGUUCAAAUUUACGCCAAAUGUUUUAUUUUCUUUUCUUAAUGGGAAGUUGAUUUAUUGUAAAAGAAACAUAAAUUCAUUUAAAAAAAAAAAUUAAGCAGAGAAUAAAAUUUAAUUGAACAACGUUGACCGGAAUACAAUGUACUGCAAGUUGAGAAAUAGUUUUUGAAAAGAUUAGGACUUUUUUUUUUAAUUUUUUUAAAAAACCCGUAUUUGAACCACACUCCACUGAAAAUAAAUAAAUAAAUUAUUAUUGGUCUUUGGAAAAACUGAAAAGGUAGUACGAAAGCUUAUAAUUUGUGAGUCGUCAGAUAGAAAGACGUGACAAACUAAGGAACCCAAAUGAAAAGGCAUACGGUAGAGCCGUGGCGUAGAAAAUCAGUCCACCCCUCUCCCUGAAAUUCCCCUGGGAAGAAAAUUGAAAAUCACAACUUCAAUGGAGAAGAGGCUUAGCGGUAGGGACACAGAAACGUAUAAAAGGCUGAGAGUUUCUAUUUUUCACUUCCCUUUGUGGUGCAAAAAUUAUGGAUCCUUAGAUCAUAAGCUGCCUUGCGGGAAACUUAAUUAAGAUGAAGUGGCUAGUAAAUUUGUUCCAAAUUUGAUUCUUACUGUGAGGCCUCCUAGCAUGAAGAAAGAAGAGCCCUUGUUUAACCAAAAAAAAAAAAAAAAAAAAAAAAAACCUUGAAGAAAGAAGAGGCUCUGAUCAAUGAUAACAAAGUAGAUAGUUAAAGAUGGCUACUGGUUAUAUGCCUUUGGAUUUUAACAACCGCAAACACAGAUUGUAGGAUGUGGGGUUUUACGGGUGUAAAAAUGAGAAUUCCAGUAUUUCCUGCUCUGCUGUCCAUGUACUAUAAUCAGCAGGGAUUUAUUUUUAAUUUGUCUAUGUACUUUGCUUCCACAAUAUCUUCUCCAGAGAUGAAGUCAAGGAAAUCACUGAAUCCUCCUUCUUUGUAUGACAAGAUAUGUUGUUCAUCCACAAGCGCUGGUGCAGGCCUUACUUUCUUACCUAAAGCUAGACUGUGAAGGCUCGCAAUGGAGAGGCGCUUUUUCUCUGAGUUAACUGUUGCUCGGUGGACAACACCUUUGUAUCGACCAUUGCUCAAUACUUCCAUGUGAUCUCCCAUCUGAACAAUGAGGGCUCCUUCAAUGAAUGGAACUGGAUGCCACUUUUCAUCUCGGUCCAUUAUUUGCAAGCCCUGAUGAUUUUGAAGAAUGAUGGAUAUCAAAGCAUAAUCUGUGUGUGGUGGCAAGCCUAGUGUAAGAGCUGGCUCAGGACAUGCUGGAUAGCAAUUAACGGCCAUGACCUGGGAGCCUUCGGCAAUGUCUUCAUGUAAGUAAUUAGGGUUUAGUCCUAAGCUCUCAAAUAUCACUUCCAUGAGUUCUUCCUGCAACUUUUGUGCUGCCUUUGUGUAAUUUCCCAUUUUCUCCCUGCAUGAAUAACUGCUUUAGGCUCUCGAAAUUAUAUUAUUCUUGAACAAUGAGAAGAUAUGAAUCAGAAAUCUUUCAGAUGAAA